GACAUACACAAAAAAACAGACAAAAUCGCUUCAAAUGAUUCAUCAGAAUUCAUCACUCGAGGUCCCGAAUGUAGUUUCCUAUAUUAUAAUUUUACGAGUUGUGUAUAUAAGCUUAUUACCUAGCAAAACACUGGUGUCUAUAUUAUAAAUAAUUAUGAGAUAUAGGUUUAGACACUACAAUCAAUUGCUUUUAUGUUAUGCUACAGUUAUUAUUUAAUUAUCCAUCUUAAUUGUGAUACUUUUAUGUCAUACUCAGGCUAAAAACACAGAUGGAAGGCUUGGAAAAUUCAAAGUCAUGGAAGACAAAGUGUGAUGAUGUCUUUAAACUUCUCAAGUAUAAAUACCUCACUAUAAACAAAGUAGAAGCAGCUAAAAUAGUUAAGAUGGCCUUUCCCUUUGUAAAAAAGACAAUCAUGUCGACAAUAGGAUGGUUGUUCCAAAACCUUUUUCUACAGCCAUUUUCUAGUUGUAUGUUUUCUUGCCAAGCGGCUGCGCCUGACAUUUCGGGAACCCCACCCCAGCACCCCGGGGUCUUGAAUAUUCCAUGGAGUAGAGUAGACAAUUUGAAGCUGGACGAAUGGACUCAUAAUGACUCAUAGCUUAUAUGUAGCUGAGAGAUUUUUCAUGUUGAUUAUAUGAGAGCAUUGAUUUCUCACAUUCUAAUCACCUUACAGUGAUUAUACCCUUUAAAGCAUUGGGUGUGCGUAUUGGUCAUUCAAAAUCCCUACAAAGAAGUUUCAAGUUGUAAUGAUAGAACAUUUUGUUUUAGGCUCAUGUUAGGCAGGUCUAUAAAGAGCUCAGCAAUGACGACGAAGAUGGAACUGAUCAGCAUAUGACCUGGGAUUUCAGCAAAACACAGGCAUCCUGACACCCUAGAAAUUAGAAGGGCUAAACAAAACAAAACCUGAUCAGUCUCUAAAGCUCUUUGGCCAAAUAAUUGACUAAAUGUGUUUUAAUAAUUGUAAUAAUAAUUUAACGAUUGUUCCGGUUCAAAUAAAUAUAAAGUUCCGGUUCAAAUAAAUAUAUAGUACAAUAAAAAAUAAAACUUGUUAUUGUUUAUUUUAGUUAUGAUGAUGACUUCAACAAAGAAGUUAGUCGUGGCAUAUUUGCGGGAGUGCGCAGUACAGAUAGCAAGUCAUCGUCAACUGCCAUAAAAGCUGCAAUGCAUGUCUAUUUCAGAACUAAAAAGAGGGGGCAUGUCACAAAAGCAAAUGACAGUUAUGAUGCCACCUUAAACAGGCCGAGAAAGCGCAGCCAGCUUAACACAAAAACAACGCUACGAAAAAAGACCUUGAGGGAAAGCUCCAGCAUCAACGAGGAGAGAAAAGGGAAAUACUUUGAAAUCAGGUCCGUGGACUAUAUGUCCUCGGAGCACACAAGGUCUGAUGGAGAAAAUGAGGGGUCUGACGAGGAAGCACCUAAACUGCUUUACAAGCAUAAGCUUCCAUGGAGGAGUGAGGAGGGGGAUUCAUUGAUGGCCUAAAAAGUUGGAAGGGCAGGGGCCAGAGAAGCACAAACAUCAUGUACAGGAGGAAAGAUGGUGCUAAUUCGAAAAGAACUGCACCAAUUGAUGCUCCCGAUUGGGCUGUGAAGCAUCAGCUUUAGGUUGCCUACAUGCAAGCUAUUCUUUUCGAAUUAGCACCAUCUUCUCUAUUUUGCUAUGAAUGAUGGACUUGUGCGUUGGCACAAAAAUGUUAUUGUUAAAGCAUAUAGUGAUCGACUUGAUUUACAAAUUCACAACGAUUUUUAUUACAACAAGUUUAUGAGUAUUCAGAUUUAUUAUUGAACUAUUUUCCUCGAAAAACAGUAGAUGAGGCUACAAUUUAUUAAAUAAAGGAGAUAUGAUUUAUUUAGAAUAUUGAAAGAAUAAUAUUCAAAGAAUUAUUACUUUGACCAAGAGCUGAUAAAAUAAUGUUUAUAGUAAUUUAUUGAUUUUGAAAUAUACACUUAUUGGACCAAACCAAAUGUAUAAAUACCGAUUAUAUUUUACUGAUUACAGAAAAUACACGAAAUAAAUGAUUUCACUAGA